rnacentral:rRNA from 1 species
CGUCUUCGUCAGCACUAUGAGCCCUCUGGUGAUGUCGUAUACCAUUCAGUGGUCCGUCAUGAGCAUGCUCUUCAGCAGGGUGACUCUACUGCUGAUGAAUUCUAUGCACAUAGUUCUGCUAUCUGGAGCCAGCUUGAUUCUCUCUACAGUGCUGGUUGUCGUACUUGCUGUUGCCAGGCUAUCUAGGCCAAUUUGGAGUUUCAUCGCGUCUACAAGUUCCUGUCUCGGCUCCAUAAGGAGUUUGAGCCCCGGCGUGCUCGGUUGUUUGCUCGUGGCCGUAUUUCUCUCAUGGAGGCGUUUUCAGAGAUUCGUGCUGAGGAGACUCGCUUACGUGGUGUUGGUUUGCUGGAGGUUUCCUCUGUGUUCUCUACUCGGGCUUCUUCCACUCCACCUGCUGCACUGACCCCUUCUUGCUCGAGUGCUCCACCGCUCUUGCCCACUCCUUCUGGAGGCUCAGGUCACCCCUGUCCACAUUGUGACUACUGCAACAAUGAUGGUCAUAUUGAGUCCCAAUGCUACACGAAGCGAAAACACAUGCGCAAGGCGCGAUCAUCAUCUUCAGGGACUUCGCCAUCUACCUCGAUAGCUUCAGCCAUUGCUUUGAAUGAGCAGGAUAUUCUGAGACUUAAGCAUCUUCUUGCGGCUUCAGGUUCUUCCUCGACGGGUACUGCUGGUUCUGUGACUGAUGCUUUCUGCACUGAGCAACCGCCCUCUACACAGUCAGGUACAUCCCCAUGGGUUCUGGACUCUGGAGCUUCUUUUCAUAUGUCUUCUCAUUCUUCCACUUUGUCCUCUCUUCGAUCGCUGGAUUCUCCUGUUCAUGUUUUCACUGCUGAUGGUACUCCACUUUCUGUUGUUAGUAGAGGCAAUCUUACCACUCCUUCUUAUUCUGUUCCUGAUGUUGCUCAUGUUCCUUGA